CCAGCUUGCUGGUGUGGAUGAGUGGCGAACGGGUGAGUAAUACGUGAGUAACCUGCCCUUGACUCUGGGAUAAGCCCGGGAAACUGGGUCUAAUACUGGAUGCUACAUGUCACCGCAUGGUGGUGUGUGGAAAGGGUUUACUGGUCUUGGAUGGGCUCACGGCCUAUCAGCUUGUUGGUGAGGUAAUGGCUCACCAAGGCGACGACGGGUAGCCGGCCUGAGAGGGUGACCGGCCACACUGGGACUGAGACACGGCCCAGACUCCUACGGGAGGCAGCAGUGGGGAAUAUUGCACAAUGGGCGAAAGCCUGAUGCAGCGACGCCGCGUGAGGGAUGACGGCCUUCGGGUUGUAAACCUCUUUCAGCAGGGAAGAAGCCACAAGUGACGGUACCUGCAGAAGAAGCGCCGGCUAACUACGUGCCAGCAGCCGCGGUAAUACGUAGGGCGCAAGCGUUGUCCGGAAUUAUUGGGCGUAAAGAGCUCGUAGGCGGUUUGUCGCGUCUGCUGUGAAAGCCCGGGGCUUAACCCCGGGUGUGCAGUGGGUACGGGCAGACUAGAGUGCAGUAGGGGAGACUGGAAUUCCUGGUGUAGCGGUGGAAUGCGCAGAUAUCAGGAGGAACACCGAUGGCGAAGGCAGGUCUCUGGGCUGUUACUGACGC
rnacentral:rRNA from 1 species